GACGAACGCUGGCGGCGUGCCUAAUACAUGCAAGUCGAACGAACUCUGGUAUUGAUUGGUGCUUGCAUCAUGAUUUACAUUUGAGUGAGUGGCGAACUGGUGAGUAACACGUGGGAAACCUGCCCAGAAGCGGGGGAUAACACCUGGAAACAGAUGCUAAUACCGCAUAACAACUUGGACCGCAUGGUCCGAGUUUGAAAGAUGGCUUCGGCUAUCACUUUUGGAUGGUCCCGCGGCGUAUUAGCUAGAUGGUGGGGUAACGGCUCACCAUGGCAAUGAUACGUAGCCGACCUGAGAGGGUAAUCGGCCACAUUGGGACUGAGACACGGCCCAAACUCCUACGGGAGGCAGCAGUAGGGAAUCUUCCACAAUGGACGAAAGUCUGAUGGAGCAACGCCGCGUGAGUGAAGAAGGGUUUCGGCUCGUAAAACUCUGUCGUUAAAGAAGAACAUAUCUGAGAGUAACUGUUCAGGUAUUGACGGUAUUUAACCAGAAAGCCACGGCUAACUACGUGCCAGCAGCCGCGGUAAUACGUAGGUGGCAAGCGUUGUCCGGAUUUAUUGGGCGUAAAGCGAGCGCAGGCGGUUUUUUAAGUCUGAUGUGAAAGCCUUCGGCUCAACCGAAAGAAGUGCAUCGGAAACUGGGAAACUUGAGUGCAGAAGAGGAACAGUGGAACUCCAUGUGUAGCGGUGAAAUGCGUAGAUAUAUGGAAGAACACCAGUGGCGAAGGCGGCUGUCUGGUCUGUAACUGACGCUGAGGCUCGAAAGUAUGGGUAGCAAACAGGAUUAGAUACCCUGGUAGUCCAUACCGUAAACGAUGAAUGCUAAGUGUUGGAGGGUUUCCGCCCUUCAGUGCUGCAGCUAACGCAUUAAGCAUUCCGCCUGGGGAGUACGGCCGCAAGGCUGAAACUCAAAGGAAUUGACGGGGGCCCGCACAAGCGGUGGAGCAUGUGGUUUAAUUCGAAGCUACGCGAAGAACCUUACCAGGUCUUGACAUACUAUGCAAAUCUAAGAGAUUAGACGUUCCCUUCGGGGACAUGGAUACAGGUGGUGCAUGGUUGUCGUCAGCUCGUGUCGUGAGAUGUUGGGUUAAGUCCCGCAACGAGCGCAACCCUUAUUAUCAGUUGCCAGCAUUAAGUUGGGCACUCUGGUGAGACUGCCGGUGACAAACCGGAGGAAGGUGGGGAUGACGUCAAAUCAUCAUGCCCCUUAUGACCUGGGCUACACACGUGCUACAAUGGAUGGUACAACGAGUUGCGAACUCGCGAGAGUAAGCUAAUCUCUUAAAGCCAUUCUCAGUUCGGAUUGUAGGCUGCAACUCGCCUACAUGAAGUCGGAAUCGCUAGUAAUCGCGGAUCAGCAUGCCGCGGUGAAUACGUUCCCGGGCCUUGUACACACCGCCCGUCACACCAUGAGAGUUUGUAACACCCAAAGUCGGUGGGGUAACCUUUUAGGAACCAGCCGCCUAAGGUGGGACAGAUGAUUAGGGUG
rnacentral:rRNA from 1 species